GCUCUCUUCCCUCUCUCUGACGCUCUCUACGAAUCUCUCCCUCAACUUCCUUUUCUCUCUCUCAAUCGUGACUGCGUACCGACCGGUGGUCUUUCCAUUAUAACUCAUUUGUCCAUUCCUCUCUCUUUUCCUCUCCAUCGAUCGUGGUUAUCCCUCCAUCCAUUACAACUCCUCCAACUGUUCAUCCAUCCAUUUCUUUGUUCAAUUUCAUUUCCAAGUUUAAUUUAUUUUUUUAAUUUAUUUAAUUAGAUUUUAUAAUUAGGGUUUUGUGAUUUUUCCAUUACUGUUACAAAUAAUUUCUUGUUAUAUUAUGGGUUGCCGGCUUAAUAUCUUUGCAAGAAUGAUAGAAUUGUUAUCUUUAUAAUAUUUUUAUCGGCUGAAUAUCUUUCUCAUAGAACAUAAGAGUUAAAGUGAAUAAACAAUCCAUUUUCGCCUAUAAACUUAGAAAUAAUCUAUGAAUGUAAUAUUUCGGUGGUAAUUUUGCUGUAGUACAUAAAUGGUGUCACCAAAACAAAUUUAACUUAACAUAGCACAAACACUUUGAUAAAUAGCACUUUUUUUACUGAAUGUUUGCUGCAUUUAUUAAUCAUCAGACAAGUUUCUAUAUGUUAUUUUCUUUGAUAUGAAUCUGAAUCCUACAUGGAAAUUAUGCUCUGAAGCUUGAAGCUGAUGAUAUUACGCAUUCCAUAGUGAUAUUAGGCUUGAGAAUGAGUUUGGUUGUCAUUUUGCUCCAUAUAAAAAUAUACUAACAAAACACUUACAUGUCAGCAUAAGCAUUGUCUAGUUGUCAUUUUGCUCCCCAAUCUCAUCAACUGCUUUUGUUAAUUAGUGAAAAAGUAGUACCAAAUUCACUUAUUUUAGUGCAUGAGCAAUGUUUGCUUUCAUAUUAAUGAUUUAAAGAUAUGUUUGAUAUCAUUGUUUGUUAGCCACUAAACAUAAACUUGAUAACUUAAAAUCUGAGAGGCAACCAGUAAUAAGAAAAGGGAUUUUUGCACUUUUUGAGUUAUAGUGGCUUGGGAUGGUACUUAUAUUACCAAAGUGAUGCUACACUAUUAAGAUAGAUAAAACCACUUAUAUUUCUGCAGAUAUUAAGAUAAAUAAAACCACUUAUGUUUCUGCAGAUUGCAACCUGCAGAAACUGUUUGGUUUCAACCAGCAGAAACAGUUUUAUUUCUGCAGGUUGUAACCUGCAGAAACUGUUCUGUUUCAUGUAGAAGAAGAAACUAUAAACAUAAAUUCAUGGACAGAAUACACCCAUACCCAAUUCAAUAGAUACCGGUAUGCUUAGAGAAUAAUGAGUUUUAUUUUACUUUAGCCAGCUUCUUAACUUGAAGAAAAAUAAAAACAACAUUAGUAAGAGCUGCACUAAAAUCAAAUAACUCAGUUUUCCAUCUUUUAUUCUACUUGGUAUGAUGGAAUAAUUCCAUAGCCAUGAUCUUCUCUUACUUCAAACUCCAAAUCUUUUUUCCUUGCAAAUCGACCCUUGACUCUUGGUCUAUUCUCUGCAUUAACCUUCCUAGUUGCAUAUCCUAUUUUCUUCUCAAAUUUUAUUGAUUUCCCUUUCUCUCUAUAUCUUUGGACUCUUGCUUCUGUUGGUCCAUUCUCUGCAUUAACCUUCCUAGUUUUCAAGUGCAGAAGAAAAUCAGAAUCAAUAGUAAUCUUGUACAAAAAAAAUUACAGAAAGAAAUUUCAGGGAAGCUUUAAAAGGAUAUGUAAGUUAAUAUAUGCAGUUGUAUCUGAUGAUCUCAAUCAAGGAGAGCCAUUGAAAUUUUCUGGAACACUUGAGCAAUAAUUGCUGAGAUUCCUUGGGAAUUUAACCUGGUCUUGAAAAAUUUCCAUCAGGAAAACUCUUAGAAGAAAAAUGAAGAUUUUAGAAAUAUAAGUAAGUGUGUAUUCAAGAAAUAGAUCUUUGUGGCGGCCCAUUCUAGCUAAAUCAAAUUUAGAAUAGAAUAAAGAGGAAAGUGAGAGACAAGCAUUAGGGGAGAGAAUCUCAGGUAGCGUUAAGGGAAAGUGAGAGACAGAUUGUGUUGAUUGUUUGGGAACGUCUAUGUUUUAGGAGAGAUUCUGCCAAAUUUUUUUAUAGAUAAACUAUUUUAUUAAUAUUAUUUAAUGAUUUAGAGAUAUGAUUAGAAGCAAAUAUAUUGCAGGAGAUUCUCAUAACUUGAAUACAAGAAUGCAUUUUGUAUCUGAAGAUGAACAUGUAAUGUCAUCAUCACAUCCGGUAAACUCUGAGGCUGAAGUAGGUGACCAUAAUGCAGCACUUGUUAGCUCAUACGGUUCACAUCCUGAUUCUUCAUUUACUGAUUCUUCAGGAUGACAAUACUUAAAACUUCAUGCAGGAAAUCAGUGAGUUAAAUAAUUAUAAUUUGAUUAGUUCAUUAAAUACCAAAUACAUAUAUAAUAACUUGCAAUAUAUUAAUAAAUUUUCUUGCAUGUGGAUCAAAAUGCACCCGAGUGAUCACAAAUAGCUUUAAAGAACGAAUGGACAUUGAAGGCUUCAAUUGGAAGAAUGUCUCACAAGAGACAAAAGAUUUUUAUUAUAAAAAAUUUAAGAAAAGAUACUUUUGGGAUCCGAUCGUAGAAGUAGGGAUAAAGGCAAUGUGGAAAGUAAAGGUAGCAAUGCACUGUAAAGAUAUUAUAGCAGAUCUUAAAGAAAGAGGCCGACAUACGUGAAUGAAGAAGCUUAGAGACGAUGGGAGCAGCAUUGGAAUGGCCCUAAAGUCAUUCGACGGUCUGAACAGAAUUUAAGAAAUUGAUGAGGUGCUGUAAAUGCUCUUGGACCGACCACCUAUAUAAGUGGAUCAAUAAUGUAUGUUGAAUGGUCGCAGAGACUUAUAUUAUUUGUUCAGGAGAAAGAAAUGGGUCGAAAGCUAAUUUUGAAUGAAUUGUUUGCCCACACUCACACUUGGAAGCAUGAUAAAGAGACAUUUGUGGACCAGAAAUCAAAGCAAAUACAUGUUCGGACCCGAGGAACCGAGGACCCCAGCAGUGAGAUAGCUGCUUCAGAGUCUUUUCAGAGCU